AGAGUUUGAUUAUGGCUCAGGAUGAACGCUGACAGAAUGCUUAACACAUGCAAGUCUACUUGAUCCUUCGGGUGAAGGUGGCGGACGGGUGAGUAACGCGUAAAGAACUUGCCUUACAGACUGGGACAACAUUUGGAAACGAAUGCUAAUACCGGAUAUUAUGAUUGGGUCGCAUGAUCUGGUUAUGAAAGCUAUAUGCGCUGUGAGAGAGCUUUGCGUCCCAUUAGUUAGUUGGUGAGGUAACGGCUCACCAAGACGAUGAUGGGUAGCCGGCCUGAGAGGGUGAACGGCCACAAGGGGACUGAGACACGGCCCUUACUCCUACGGGAGGCAGCAGUGGGGAAUAUUGGACAAUGGACCAAAAGUCUGAUCCAGCAAAUUCUGUGUGCACGAUGAAGUUUUUCGGAAUGUAAAGUGCUUUCAGUUGGGAAGAAGUCAGUGACGGUACCAACAGAAGAAGCGACGGCUAAAUACGUGCCAGCAGCCGC
rnacentral:rRNA from 1 species